rnacentral:rRNA from 1 species
AGAGCGAACGCUGGCGGCAGGCCUAACACAUGCAAGUCGAGCGCCGUAGCAAUACGGAGCGGCAGACGGGAGAGUAACACGUGGGAACGUGCCCUUCAGUUCGGAACAACCCAGGGAAACUUGGGCUAAUACCGGAUACGUCCGUAAGGAGAAAGAUUUAUCGCUGAAGGAUCGGCCCGCGUCUGAUUAGCUUGUUGGUGAGGUAACGGCUCACCAAGGCGACGAUCAGUAGCUGGUCUGAGAGGAUGAUCAGCCUCACUGGGACUGAGACACGGCCCAGACUCCUACGGGAGGCAGCAGUGGGGAAUAUUGGACAAUGGGCGCAAGCCUGAUCCAGCCAUGCCGCGUGGGUGAUGAAGGCCCUAGGGUUGUAAAGCCCUUUCGGCGGGGAAGAUAAUGACGGUACCCGCAGAAGAAGCCCGGCUAACUUCGCGCCAGCAGCCGC